UCGGCUGGCAGCAUUUUCCCCAGCAGAACAUAAAGUAAUAGCACAUCUUUGAGCAGAGGCACCUUAAAGCCAGUGCCCUUGUUAUCCCCCUGUCCUGGAACUGCCCACUUCCACAGCCAGCGUUCACUAACUAGAAUUGCCUCCAAGGGAAGGGCUGUUUUGCUAUCUCUCACUAAAUUCCCGGGGGCACUCUCUGGAAGCUGGUAGUUACAGAGUAAAUGUUUUCUGAAUGUGCACAACUUCUGUGGAAACAGAUCGUGCAGGAUUCUACCCAGGCCCGAGGCUGUUAGCUGUGGAAGACUUGCAAGGAAGCAGACAUUGUCCAGGGGUAGGGGAAUUUCUCCAGGAUGUUUGGGGACACUCUUCUCCUGAACACUGCUUAUUAUCUGUGUCUUCGAGGCUCCACAAAUAAACUUGAUGAGUGAAUGAAGACAGUCAAGCAUGCUUCCCUUAGUGUGACAGCCAGUCAACUUCCUGUUACCUGCAAGAUGUAAGGACUCUCAGCUCCAGCACCACGUCUGCCUCCACCACUGCCAUGCUCCUUGUCAUGAUGAUAAUGGAUUGAACCUCUGAACUGUAAGCGAGCCACCCCAAUGAAAUGUUUCCUUUGUAAGAGUUGCUGUGGUCAUGGUGUCUCUUCACAGCAGUAGAAACCCUAACUAAGACAGUACCUUUAAGCUAGACACCUUUAUAAGUGAGCAACUGAAAACAGUGAUGUGUAUGCUCUGCAUCGCAACACAUAAACUACCUUCCUUCUCUUGAAAAGCUUGUGUGUGUGUGUGUGUGUGUGUGUGUGUGUGUGGUGGUGUGUGUGUGUGUGUGACUCAGAGGACAACUUGUGGGAGUCAGUUCUCUUCUUUCAUUGUGUGGGUUCUGGGACCUGAACUAAGGUUGUCAGCCUUAGCUACAGGUACCCUCUCCUGCUGAGCCCAUCUUAUUGGUCCCUCCACCUUAUUUUUUGAGACAGGGCUUCUCACUGAACCUGAAGUUCAUAAUUCAGCAGGACUGGAUGGGCCAGGGAGCCUCCAGGAUUUUCCUGUCACUGCCUCCCCCCGACACUGGAGUUCUAGGUGCACAUUUCUACCUCCAGAGUUUUCUGUGGAUGCUGGCGAUCUGAACUCAGGUUCUCAUGCUUACACAGCAAACACAUCCUUCCCUGUGAGCCAUUCCCUCAGUCUUCAAUUUAAAAAGUCUUACAGGCAGGCGUGGCAGCAUUCCAAUGGUGUGUGUGUGUGUGUGGUGUGUGUGUGUGUGUGUUCUUACUCUUGAUAAAAAUAGUCUAAGAGACAGCUUGGCUUUUGUAGAAAUCUUGGCAUUCUAGAAAGCAAGCCUGCAGCCUCCACAGAAUGUGACUAAGCAAUUGUCAAGGGAAAGUAAGGGUUCCAUGCUCUCUCCUGAUCAACCCCUCACCCCGCCCAGUCAAAGCCUUAUCUGCUCUCCCCGACAUCAAAUCUGAGCAGUCUUGUGACUUGAUUUUGCUGGUAAGAACUGAUAGAAAUGACUGUGGACCAGUUCUGAGCCUGCCCCACAAUGCUCUGGAAAUUUCUGUGUACACGUUGAGGAGCCGAGAGCAUCUCUGGCCUGGAUACCAUACAUAAAGAGCCUCAUGAAAACCAGAGAUUCAGAGGAGAGGGUGGACCAGCCAUCCUAGAGUCCCAAGCUAAGCCAGCUGCCAAUCUCUCUCCAAGAAACCUGUCAUGCCAGUGGUCCAUCCUGGACACUCGGUGCAGUCCUGCCUCACACGACCUAGGUCCCACCUGAACUCACAUGAAAAGAACUUCCUCUCAGAUCCAAGCAAUCAUAUAUGCAAAACAUGGUGAGCCUGUGUUUAGUCAUUCCCCUUUUGAGGGGCAUGUCACAGCAGUGGAUCAGUAAAACAGUGUUCACAUGAAAGUUGUCAUUAGGGUACAUAUCACUGUGGGUCUAAUCCCUUGGUUCUAAUCACUAUGGACCAAACCACGGACUCUCAGUGGAUAGACACAGAGAAGCUGCCUCCAGGAAUUUAGUUCGGCAAGAAGAGUGUGCACAGGCCAGUACAAAGAUUCUAGACACUGACUAGUUCAUACACACACACACACACACACACACACACACACACACACACACACACACACACACCACACACACACACACACACACACACACACACACACACACACACACACGAGCACAGAAGCCCGAUGAGCAUGAAUUUGGGAGGGAAGCAGGGCGCACUCCCUAGGGCUGGAUUUUGAAGGACAGUGCAGGCGCCAUGUCAGAGAAUAGAUGGUAGGAAGGAGCACAGGUAGGAGCCUGGCAGGAAACUGAGCAGAUAAAGAGAAAGCUGAGACAAUCCCAAGUUUGCUAGUAGCUGGAUGCCAAGACAAUGGUGCUCAGGCUGGCUGUGGAGUCCGGUGGCAGAGCGUUUGCCUAGCAUGCAUGAAGCCCUGGGCUUGACCACCAGUGUGGCACAAACUGAGGACAGUGGCACACACUUGCGAGCCUUGAGAAGUGAAGGCAGGAGGAAGAGAAGUUCAGGUCACCCUUGGCUACAUUCAGAGUUCAAAGCCAGCCUGAGCUUGAGGGAUGAUGCAGAGUUUGAAUGCACUUGGUGCUCUUUCUGAGGACCUGAGUUCAGUUUUUCAGCCUUCGUAUCAGGCACCUUAUCAGUUACCUUCUGUAACUCCAGAUCCAGGGAACCUGGCACCUCCUCAGACACACAUAUAUACAUAAUUAAAAAUAAUAAAAAUAAAACCAUUUAAAAACAUACAUUGCUUAUUGAGAUUCGUGUGUGUGUGUGUGUGUGUGUGUGUGUGUGUGUGUGUGUGUGUGUGUUUUGUUUUUCUUAAAUGGGGCAAAUCGGGUUCUAGACCUGUAGUGUAACCUCAGAAAAGCUGGAUAUUUCAUGAUCCUUUCUUUCAUUAGCCCAUCUGGUAAAAAUAUAAUUUGCUAGAUGCUACACAAUCCCAAUGUGACCACGUGCUAAGGGACUCUGAAAGCGGAGUCUCUUGGGAGUGAGUGUCCUCUUAGCACUCACUGGCAGCAGGGCUGGGGCUCCAGGUGGGAAAGAUGCGGGACCUGUUUGCAGAGAGCCCUUUCACGCCUCCCCUUGGACAGCUUGGGAUUGAGGAGCCCCAUCUGGGCCCUCCAGGGCUGAGGAGGAGAAGACAUAGACUCAGCAGCCAAAAUCCGAGCCAACUGGCUGGUAAUUGGGUGGUUAAUGGCUCAGUCCUGGAGAACUGUAAGGCUGCAGCUAUGGCAGGAAUGGCUUUCAAGUUUCCUCCUCCCUCCUCCUGGUGCGUGGUGGAGCUUUGAAACUCUCUGGCCUGGAAGGAUCUGGGUAACCAUGGAUGCCUCAACCCAGGACUCUGAGCAAGGCCAAGUCAGCUGCUGGAUCUAAGAGCCAUGACUGCAGAAGAGGAAGGAUUCAGACAUUCCUGAGUGGUAGCAGGGUCAGUGGAAAUACAAAAGGCAAGAUCCAGGUGCCUCAGCACGGGGCAGAGAAAGGCUCAUGACAGCACCUCUCUUAAGAUCUUAGGCGACUGUUGGUUGGACAGUCCUACUAGGAGUCACCCAUUGCUGUUGGCUGGGGUCUGUCUUAACCCAUAACAACAGAGGCAGAAGCCCACCCUCAACCUGCAUGGCCUCUGUCUGUGUUACUGCCCUAGUGCUGUGAGGAAACACCAUGACCAAGGUGACUUGUAGUAGAAUGUUAUUUUAAGGUGGGUUACUUUUGUUUACGUUGCAUUUGUUUAACUCUGUGAAGCUAUGUUACUGUGUGCCUGUCUAAAACACCUGAUGGUCUAAUAAAGAACUGGCCAAUAGCCAGGCAGGAGAAAGGAUAGGGCUAGCAGGGAGAGUUUAUAUAGAAGGAGAAGAAAUGGAAGAGUGAGAGGAAGCAGCAGCCAGAGAAGGAGGAGGACAUCAGGGGCCAGCCACCCAGCCACACAGCCAGCCAUGGAGUAGGAGUAAGAUUUACAGAAGUAAGAGAAUGGGAAAAGCCCAGAGGCAAAAGGUAGACGGGAUAAGUUAAGGAAAGCUGGCUAGAAAUAAGCCAAACUAAGGCCAGGCAUUCAUAAUUAAGACUAGGCCUCCGUGAGUGAUUUAUUUGGGAGCUGGACGGCGGGCCCCCCAAAAGAGAGUGAAAGCAAAAACAACAGUAACUUAUAAAAGGAAGUAUCUAAUUGGGGACUUGCUUACAGUUUCAGAGGGUGAGUCCAUGACUUCCAUAGUGGGGAGCGUGGUGGCAGGCAGACAUGCAUGGCACUGGAGCAGUAGCUGGGAGCUUCCAUCUUAUCUAUAAGCUGAAGGGAGAGAGAGAGAGAGAGAGAGAGAGAGAGAGAGAGAGAGAGAGAGAGAGAGAGAGAGAGAGAGAGAGAGACUGGUGUGGGCCUGAUGUGGGCUUUUGAAACCUCAAAGCCCACCCCCAUUGACACACCUCCAACAAGGCCUUAUCUUCCCUAACAAGCCCACACCUCCUAAUUCUUCCCCAACAGUUCUAACUGGGGACCAAACAUUCAAACAUGUGAGUCUGUGGGGGAGCAUUCUCAUUGAAACCACCAUGGGUCCAUCUCCCUUCUCCCUUGCAAACCUAACUCUGAUAUAAGCUGGGUGACCCCAGGUGAUAAACAGUGACCCAGUUAACUAAUCAUGGAAACUCAAGUGCAGGUCCAGUCUCCCAGAGGUAGAACAUCAUGGAGGAUCUGAGGGUACAGGAAGGAACAGAUCAGGCUUUGCCACCUCUUUCUCCUGCUUCCUGUCUCAUCCAAGAUCCCCAGUGUCUGUAGCUGUCCUGUGACCAGGAGGCAGCCUCCUGGGGCACCACACAGAGGACAAGGCUUCGCCUGGCCUAGGUCACCUUCUUGUCAUCUGAGAGCAGGGAGGGAAACGUUUCUCACUGUAGUACCCACAGCUUCUAGAACAGUCCCUGGCUUGCUGCCACCACUCAACAAUCCUUUGCAGACUAAGUAAUUAUCUGCAUUGCUCAGGCUACAAUUGAGGGUCCAGUUGCUUACAAGUAAACUUAACCGUGUUUGUGAGGCCCAGGCUACAUGGCAAGACCUUGUUGCUCAGAAACAAAGAGGCAAACAAAACUAAACGCCCUUACAAAGACUUGGCAGCAACCACCAGCAAAUGAAGGCCUAAGUUCAAGGCGUUACCAUGGGCAUGUUCCCGCCUGCCUAGCCCACGUCGUUCCCUUCUGGCGAACACACAAAGCCAGACAGUAUCCAAAGCCAUCCGGGUUCCAGCCAUGGCUGAUGGGGUCAGAUACACUCAGCAAUGCAAAACUCAGCUCAUGCUCCCAAAGGAGUAAGACAUAGCCUGUUCCGAGCCAAAUGAGUGACCACGGGCAGGGAACAUGGUUCAGAUUGUCCAGAUUAACAGGCUCCAGUGUGGAAAGGUUACAUUUUUUUUAAUAGUCACAGAACAACAGAAAAUCAUAAAUCAGAGCAUUUACCAAAUAUAUUGAUGGGGACAUCAAAUAGAUGGGUUACAGCAAAGAGGAGAAAUCUCUGCCAUUGGUUCUAGAUGCUGUUUCAUGACACUCUUAGUUGUUAGGUUGGUGGAAGGCAGCAGUCUGUUAAGCGAAUAUAGUUCCCAAGUUUUUUUGGUUUUUUUUU